GAAUCCUGUCCAGGAUGAAAAUUGUGAAGACAUAAAGCAAGACUACAUUCAGCUCCACAUCAAGAACAACACAAUUCCAAAGUGCUUUUGUGAAAGUUAUAUGCUCAAAUCAUUUCUUGUGGGUAGGAGACUGUAGCUGAUUGUUGAUUUAAAACAGCUUUCAGCCAUCUCACAAAAGAGAAUGCAAAAGCAUUUUAAAUAAUUAAAAGACUACCACCCUCACCCUCAAAUACCAAAUCUUUAUAUUGGCACAUAAAAUGUGCAACACAGAAAACUUGCUUUAUAGGUUAAUUAGUAUUAAUCCUGUCUAAAAUCUUUUGACCAGAAACAAUAUUAAAAAGUGCCUUCAUAAGUGCCUGACUCCUACCAAGCACACUCCUCCCUUUGCAAUUAGGUUCUCGUUGGUUCUUGCCUGCAAAAAUAAGACUCCAUUUCCAGAUGUAUCUUAUACACAGAAAAAGAAGAGGAUUAAAAUGGAGACUUCCAAAGAACACUUUUUAAGCACUAUGUCAGAUGCUUAAAUUCAUUUCCCUUUUGUUACAGUUUUAUGAAAGGGUUUUAAUUGCAUAAUGGGAUUAAGCCAGUGGAAUCUGAUCUGUAAAACCACAGGACGUAUUCCGCUGUUAACUGCAAGACCACACACUUGUUUACAUGAGUAUGUGUGUGAGAGAGAGAGAAUGGAAACUCUGAAUGGGGCCACACCACUAGUGAAUUUUUCUUGAUUGGUAAUACUGAAAUAUGUGUGUGGGCUGGCUUUCUUGUGGGUACACGGAGACCCCUUCCCAAACAACAGCACUUGAAUGUAUCCUAACAUAAAUACAGUCCUAGAUAUAUGCAUACAUGGUCUGAUAGGUUUCAUGUUUAUAAGUUGUUCUAUUUUCCCAGAAUUCUCUUUUCAUUUUAUCUGAGCAAGGAAAAAAACAGGAGCGAAAAUCAGGAGCAACUCUCUUGUUAUUUAUUCUCCAUCAACUUCAUCAGCAGAAGGACUUUCUGUCUUGGGAAAGCACCAGUGAACCAGGAUGAGAAGCUCUUCUUUGGACUGGAGGAUGCUCCAAGGAACAGCCUUGUUCACUGCAUGGCAGGUAUAUAUUCCGGCAUCCUUUUCCACAAUAGUGGUGAAGACAAGGUCCCCUGCUUCUUGGUGAACUCUGCCAGUAGUGGGGAUAUGAACAUUGUUUCUCUCCCACCAGAUACGGGGUUCAGGGAUCCCACGAGGAGCCACACAGACUCUUUCCUUCAGUAGCUGAAAGCUGUCAGGCAGCAUCCAGGCUCUGAUUGAAUUAAGAUACGUCCAUCCUCAUCAAGGUUACUUUAAUGUGCUUCUUCUGACCAAAUUCUGGGCCAGGACAGAAGAUCCAUUCUUUUAUAACAUUUUUUGCUGACUUGAGGAGGAAUAUCAGUUUCUCCAAUUUUUCUUUCCCUAGCUAUAAGCUGGAUGGAACAUCAGAGUAUGUUAGUAACAAAUAUGGUGCUCACAUUUUAUGUUGAAAGAUGCAUUUGUUGUCCGAGCUUCUUCUCCAGUAACUACAUUCCUGGCAACACACUGGAAGUUCCC